CAAGAGAAUGAGAAGACAAGCCUCAGAAUGAGAAGAAACAUUUGUAAAAGAUACAUCUAAUAAAGCAGUUUUAUCCAAAAUAUAUAAUACAAAGAUCUCUUGAGACUCAACAUUAAGGAAGCAAACAACCAGAAUAAAAAAUGAGCUCCAGAUACUAACAGCCACCUCAUCAAAGACAAUACACAGAUAACAAAUUACCAUAUGAAAAUGUGGUCUCUAUCAUAUGUCAUCAUGGAAAUUCAAAUUAAAGCCACAGUGAGAUACCACUACACACCUAUAAGAAUAGCCAAAAUCCAGAAUACAGACAACACCAUACGCUAAUGAGGAUUAGGAGCAACAGGAACUCGUAUUCAUGCUGGUGGGAAUGCAGCAAGGAACAUUUCCCUCUCUGGAUACAUGUGUUUCAGAUCACAAAGCCAUAGAUGAGAGGAGUCUCUCUUUCUAAAUCACUUUUUGAAGAACACCUACUCAAGAGAGUCACCUGACCCCGUUGGAAUAUAAGAUGUGUGGGAAAUCUACCUUAUUGCAUUAAACUACUC
rnacentral:lncRNA from 1 species